AUGAACGCUGGCGGCGUGCCUAAUACAUGCAAGUCGAGCGAACAGACGAGGAGCUUGCUCCUCUGACGUUAGCGGCGGACGGGUGAGUAACACGUGGAUAACCUACCUAUAAGACUGGGAUAACUUCGGGAAACCGGAGCUAAUACCGGAUAAUAUAUUGAACCGCAUGGUUCAAUAGUGAAAGACGGUUUUGCUGUCACUUAUAGAUGGAUCCGCGCCGCAUUAGCUAGUUGGUAAGGUAACGGCUUACCAAGGCAACGAUGCGUAGCCGACCUGAGAGGGUGAUCGGCCACACUGGAACUGAGACACGGUCCAGACUCCUACGGGAGGCAGCAGUAGGGAAUCUUCCGCAAAGGGCGAAAGCCUGACGGAGCAACGCCGCGUGAGUGAUGAAGGUCUUCGGAUCGUAAAACUCUGUUAUUAGGGAAGAACAAAUGUGUAAGUAACUAUGCACGUCUUGACGGUACCUAAUCAGAAAGCCACGACUAACUACGUG
rnacentral:rRNA from 1 species